GAAAGUAAAAAAGGGCGCAUGGCGGAUGCCUUGGCUCUCGGAGGCGAUGAAGGACGUGAUAAGCUGCGAUAAGCUUUGGGGAGGUGCAAAUGACCUUUGAUCCAGAGAUUUCCGAAUGGGACAACCCAAUAUCUUGAAGAGGUAUUAUCCAACGUUGUUGGAGGCUAACGCAGGGAACUGAAACAUCUUAGUACCUGCAGGAAAAGAAAAUAAACAAUGAUUCCCCCAGUAGUGGCGAGCGAACGGGGAACAGCCCAAACCAUCCAUGUUACGGCAUGGGUGGGGUUGUAGGACUACGCCGUUGCAUGAAGACAUCAGAGAAGAACUUUCUGGAAAGAAAGACCAUAGAGCAUGACAGUUGCGUAUUCGAAUGUUGUCGAAGCAUAGUAGUAUCCUGAGUAGCGCGGAGCACGAGGAAUUCUGCGUGAAUCUGCCGGGACCAUCCGGUAAGGCUAAAUACUCCCGAGAGACCGAUAGCGAACCAGUACCGUGAGGGAAAGGUGAAAAGCACUUCGAACAGAAGAGUGAAAUAGUUCCUGAAACCGUGCGCCUACAAGCGGUCGGAGCUCGUUAAUGAGUGACGGCGUGCCUUUUGCAUAAUGAACCUACGAGUUGCCUUUGCCGGCAAGGUUAAGUGUGACGACACACGUAUCCGAAGCGAAAGCGAGUCUGAACAGGGCGUAUAGUCGGCAGUGGCAGACGCGAAACCAAGUGAUCUACCCUUGGCCAGGUUGAAGGCUGGGUAACACCAGCUGGAGGACCGCACCAAUAAGCGUUGAAAAGCUUCUGGAUGAGCUGAGGGUAGGGGUGAAAGGCUAAUCAAACUUGGAGAUAGCUCGUACUCCCCGAAAUGCAUUUAGGUGCAGCCUUGCGGGUUACUGAUGUGAGGUAGAGCGACUGAUAAGAUGCGAGGGCUUCACCGCCUAUCAAGUCUUGACAAACUCCGAAUGCGCAUCAGUUCUACCGCAGGAGUGAGGGCAUGGGUGCUAAGGUCCGUGCCCGAGAGGAGAAGAAUCCGGACCACCUGCUAAGGUCCCGAAAUGACAGCUAAGUUAAACUAACGAAGUCUGACUGCUAAGACAGCUAGGAUGUUGGCUUGGAAGCAGCCAUUCAUUUAAAGAGUGCGUAACAGCUCACUAGUCGAGGAGUCGGGCGUGGAUAAUAAUCGGGUAUCAAGUUGUCUACCGAAGCAGUGGGAUCAUUUAUAUGAUCGGUAGGGGAGCAUUCCAGUCAGCGUCGAAGGCGUACCGUGAGGUAUUCUGGAGCGUCUGGAAAAGCAAAUGUAGGUAUAAGUAACGAUAAAGGGGGCGGGAAACCCCCUCGCCGAAAGACUAAGGUUUCCUGAUCAACGCUAAUCGGAUCAGGGUCAGUCGGGUCCUAAGGCUCAGCCGAACGGCGAUGCCGAUGGCAGAAACGGUUAAUAUUCCGUUACUACCUUCAGGAGUGACGUGGAGACGCAGUAGUGACAGUGCCGCCAUCUGACGGAAUAGAUGGUUGAAGGGUGUAGGAGUCGAUCAUGGCAGGCAAAUCCACCAUGAGAUCCGAACCUGACAGUAUGCCGCGUCCUUCGGGACAAGGCAAUAGUGCGCGUAAGCAUGCUGCCGAGAAAAUCCGCUAAACUUAAUCCUGCAGGUACCCGUACCGCAAACGGACACACGUAGUCGGGAUGAAUAUUCUAAGGCGCUUGAGUGAUUCACGGUUAAGGAACUAGGCAAACUGACCCUGUAACUUCGGGAUAAAGGGUCCCUACCCUUUUAUGGGAGGGCGCAGAGAAUCGGUCCAGGCAACUGUUUAACAAAAACACAGGGCUGUGCCAAAUCGAAAGAUCCAGUAUACAGCCUGACACCUGCCCGGUGCUGGAAGGUUAAGAGGAGAUGUCAUCGAUGAGAGAAGCGUUGAAUUGAAGCCCCAGUAAACGGCGGCCGUAACUAUAACGGUCCUAAGGUAGCGAAAUUCCUUGUCGGGUAAGUUC
rnacentral:rRNA from 1 species